rnacentral:rRNA from 1 species
CCUACGGGCGGCUGCAGUAAGGAAUAUUGGUCAAUGGAGGAAACUCUGAACCAGCCAUCCCGCGUGAAGGAUGAAGGGGCUCUGCCUUGUAAACUUCUUUUGUCUGGGGCGAAAAAGCUCGAUUUAUCGAGAACUGACGGUACCAGAAGAAUAAGCACCGGCUAACUCCGUGCCAGCAGCCGCGGUAAUACGGAGGGUGCAGGCGUUAUCGGGAAUCACUGGGGCGAAGGCGUCUGUGUACGUCUGUGGUGAAAGGAUGUGGCUUAACCAUGGAACUGCCAUUGAUACUGCAGAGCUUGAAUGAGGUUGAGGAUGGCGGAAUGUGACAUGUAGCGGUGAAAUGCUUAGAUAUGUCAUGGAACACCGAUUGCGAAGGCAGCUGACUGGACCUAUAUUGACGCUGAGGCACGAAAGCGUGGGGAGCGAACAGGAUUAGAUACCCGGGUAGUC